rnacentral:lncRNA from 1 species
AACAUCACCAGUGGAAAAAAGGUGUGAAUGCACCCUCAAAGCCCCUAAGUGAGGGAGUACAUGGAUGCUGGGCAUGAUGAAGCGCAAACCUUGAUGUGCAACACCACCUUAUGAAUCUACAGUAGUUACAUUAACAUUUAGCAGACUCUUUUGUCUAAAGUGACUUACAAUUGAGGACACAUUCAGCAAAUCAACAAGAAAAGCAGAUACACCCAAGAUGUGCUAAUUAUACAAAAAAAUUUAAGAAUUAAGAAUGCUUCUACAUGGAAUUAAGAAUGCUUCUACCCAAUCUAAGUUGUUGCCUUCUCCUCGGAAGGACCCCCGUCUAACGCCGUAGUCCAGCAGCAGCUCCUCCCCCAU